rnacentral:rRNA from 1 species
CCACGCGCCGGGUAUUGCCUCAGUAGCGGCGAGUGAAGCGGCAAAGAGCUCAGAUUUGAAAUCGUGCUUUGCGGCACGAGUUGUAAUUGCAGGUUGGAGUCUGUGUGGAAGGCGGUGUCCAAGUCCCUUGGAACAGGGCGCCCAGGAGGGUGAGAGCCCCGUGGGAUGCCGGCGGAAGCAGUGAGGCCCUUCUGACGAGUCGAGUUGUUUGGGAAU